AUAAAGGCUCUGAAGAAAAGAGCCACUCAUAAAAAGAACAAAAAUCUGU
rfam:Canis lupus familiaris chromosome 31, whole genome shotgun sequence.